AUAUCUACAGAAGUCUAUCUCCUUGAGGAAAGAAUUACAGUGCUCUAUCUUUCUAUUCAUGACCCUGAUUUUGGAGGCUUAUGUCAAAAAUUCUCUUCAUUCAACUCAUGUACUCAAACAAGGAGAUGGCAUUUGGUACUAUUUUGUACAAUGAAAACAAGAAAAAAGAAUGACAUCACUUGUCAGUAACAGAAGUUCAGAGAACAAGUAUUCUCUUGCCAGCCUACAGUCUUCAUGUAGUUUUUCUGUAAGGGGUGAAUAACUGAAGAUUCAAAUACCAUUGGAGAUGAAAUCCCAAAACUUACUCUGUUCAGUCACACACUUGCACAGUGAUUUGUUCUAGGAAUCAGGCUUUCCACCACCACCUCGUAUAUGUGAUAUUUUUAGUAUUUCCUGGUUUCAGUUAGGAGAGAAAUCACAAAAAGAUAGCUUUUUGUAAGCAUUUUUCAAUGUAUUUAUAUUCCCAUUAUACCUCAGAAGGAAACCGCAACAGAGAAAGAAAACACAGAAGGAUAAUAAGCAUAUGGACAAGCAAAGCUACCACAUGUGAUGGACAAAUUCCAAGUUAAACACUCUCACCAGAGCAUGCUCCAAGACAGACGACUGGGCCUCAGACUUCGCCAAUACAAUGCAGUUCUAUUCUCUAUUUAUUUUUGUAGUUCAAAGACCUGGCAGCAGCCCAUUUGAUGCCUGCCAUAAGGACCAGUGCACUCCUGAUUACUGCCAUGAGAUUUCCAAGCCCACAGACAGCACGUAUUCCAGCAUAUGCCAGUCACCAAGACAGACUAUGUACAAACAGCACCAGGAUUCUCUGAAAGAAAGAAAAAAGCCAGCUCCCAUUUCCACUCUGAACCCCCCCACUAUAGACUGCCAACUUGAGGACCUUGCUUUAAUCACAGCAACCACAUGAAAGAGUUUCUUCUGUUUAUCUUGCUUCAUUUAGGAAACCAGUGAUAAGACUGCCAUGAAAAAAUUCCAUCUUCUCCUGGAAGCUGGCAUACUUGUCCCAAGAUACGGGCUUUGAUUUCAUUUUAAGUGCAGUUAUUUACAGUCAUAUCACAGAGCAUGAGGUUUUUUUUCAUUAUACCAGAUGACUUUGUUUCCCUAAUAAGCAAGCUGUGAAUACUUGAAAGUUCCUCUUUAGACAAAGGCAUCUCUGAGUGGAAGUGGUGGGAAAAGGGCAGCAGAUCCUCCUAAAGCCACCACUGAAGCCUGCAGGCCAUGUCCUUAAUGCACGAAUCCAGCCAGGUGGCAAGAGGUGCUGGCAGAAGAGCUGUGGCCAACACAGAGGAGGGGAUAAGGUGUGUGACGUGACUAGACUUUUCUUCUCCCUCUAGGCUCUCCAAAGCACAUAGGACAAGUGCAAAAUUAAAUAGAGAUAUGAAACUGGUACCCAGCUACUGAGGAUGGAGUAUAACUUUGCAAUAACAAAGCAAAACAAAGAUGCAGACCAAAUGCAGAUGAAAUCAUAUAACCCGCUUCUGGAUGAGCUGGCUGUGGUUGUUUGGCUGUGGAAUAUUGUGGGUAACCAAAUAAGUACUCUUGUCCCUGUAAAUCAGAGCAGUACAUAUACUUUUUAGCUUUGCCACCACCUAGACACCGCUGGCUGCCCCCAGUGCCAUCUAUGGUGUAGCCAGAUUCUAUAAUGCUGUCACAUUAGUUUUCUGGGCUCACUGGGUAUCUCAUAGGGUUUAGGUGCCAAUGGAUGAAAUUCUUUCUCUACUAAUAAGAAGUUUUAGAAGGUGGGAAAUGGCUGACAGGUUAUUCUAAACCCAAAGAAUGUGAGGUAGUGAUUGUGGUGAUGAUGAGAGUAUGCGCGAGAGGCCAUUUAGGCACAGGUUGCCAAAGGGCUUCAGAAGCAGAUGGUAGCAGUCUGCUAGUGAGAUAUUCAUGGACAUAUUUGAUUCCUCAUGGCUACAUGAAGCCUCAGCUUCUGCCAAAGACAUAAAUGGGAAUGGAGAGGAAAAGUCUUCUCAUAUUUGCAGAAAGAUGCAUGAUUUUCAAAUUCAGAAGGAUCAUUAUCUGCAGCAUAACCAUUUUUCCUCUUGAAAUGUAGCUUAUAUUACUACAAUUACUUCUGAGUUCUCAGCCCUUGGCACCCAUAAUUCAAUAUUCCCGUUUAAAAAAUUGUUGAGGUCUCUGCUGAUAUCUCAGCAAACACAAUAUUUCAUCUCUAACUGUAUCCUGUUUAGUCUGGAUCUGUUCAUGUUCACAAGCAGCAGAUUUGAAAUACAGCCUUGCAGAAUAAUCAGUAAUAAACACACAAAAGUGACAGGCAAUAAUUUCAUAGUUUUCAUGGCAGAUAACAUAAGAUAUUUUGCAAAACUUUGCCAUAUCAUGUAAUUGUGCCAAUUUACCUCUUUCAGUAAGAUAGAGUCAUUCUUAUUGCAAGAUAUUAGGAGAUGCUACUAUAAAUCUUGCAGUAUAUCUUGCAAAUGUGCAAUUACUCUUCACAAGUGCCCAGAUGGGGAUUAUUUCUCAUUAUAUCAAGUGUUAUGCAAAAACCAAAUGUCUGGCUGUAAUUAAUGGGGUUGGAAACUUCAAUAACAGAUCUGCUAAUGAAAAAAACACAAAUGGUCAGCGUUUCAGCUUGAAUAACAAAUCAAAUGACUGGAUGUUUAUGUUAACCUUGUCCAAAGUAUGUAACCAUCCUGAGAAUGCAAAACUGGACUGAAUCACGAGACUGACCUUCCUUGCAAGCUUUCCACUAUGUCCUUUGUCUGUGUGUCUAUGCAUUAGAAAUACGUACAAAAUUUUUCUUUUCUCAGGCUACAGUAACAUUUGUAUUUCUGACCCUUUUUAGAAACAGAAAUAACAAACCCCUAAAAAACCCAACCAACCAACCAACAACAACAACAACAAAAAAAGAAAAAAACCAAAAACCAAUAAAACCCCCAAACCAAAACCAGUUUUAUACGGCAUGAAGGUUAGAAAAAGGUCGAUUUUUGUGGAAACCUAAACAACUUCCUAUUUUCUGUGUGAAUCAAUUCACUUGAACAUGUUCGCUCACAUAGGUGUAACGCGUUGUUGCCAAAUGCCUAGUUACAAGCCCUAACCAAAUUUUCCAACACAAAACAUUCCCAUUGCCCUUUGCCUGGAAACUUAAAACACAUCACUGAAUAAUCAGUUCCCUUCAUGUACUACUGUAGCAUUCUGCAAAUAGACAUCAUCCCUGGAUUAUCCUGCUCAAGAACUGCUCUGGCCAAUCCACAAACUUUACAGUAUUUCUAUCUCAUUUGCCCCAAUAACACAUUUCCCUAAAGAAACAUCGUUGGAUGAUCUCAGAUGCAUGGCAGAGAUAGCUAGCUAUACAGUCUUGCUUUUUUCCCUGAAGUUUUCUGUACCAUUGUUAGCUGAACAGGCUCAGCUGAGUAUGUAUUCAGAUAGGUUCUUAUUAAAAUCGACUUUUAAUAUUAGUCAUGAACACAUCUUCAAACUUACAAACAUUUUUCCUCUAGUACCAACAUAGCUAAAGAAAAUUGCAUCUGAAUAAAGCUACUCCUAUUGUCUAAUAAACAUUUUGAUUAAACACACCAAGUGUUGAUCAAUCUCUAAAAUACUUCUAAAUGCUUUGAGAUGCAAGUUUUCAGUUUUCUCUAAAAAUUACAUGUUACAUCUAUUCCAAAGGAAACAUGGGUCAAAUCAGAUCAGAUUUUCAAGGUGCCAAGUGAAAACAGCUGAAAUUUUUCAUUCAAGUAAAGUGACCUUGUAUGAAAAGAAGGUGCAAAAUUUACAGUUCCACCAGUUAUAUUCUCAGAAGUGUUGAGAAACAAAACCGAAAGCAAUUCCUUUUUCUUUCUGUUGGAAAAUGAGCCAAAAACAAGAGGUGGGUAAAUUCCACUUACCUCUAAUUUCUGCCUCAGCAGUGUCAUUUGUCAGUCAGAACCAGUGUCAGGUCUGCAUACUUAUUAACUGAGUUCCGUUAUUGAACCCUUGCAACCCUUGCUAAUGUGUAAGCCAUAAAGCAUGAAAGUACACAUACAUUUUGAGUUAAGUUUGCAGAACAAGUAUCCAGCAAAACCACUGCUCUGCCUCCUUUUCCCUGCAGCUCCCAAAACCUGUCUUGAAAAUAUUUAAUGACCCUAACCCUGCAAAACCACUGUGUAAAUGGGUGCCGCUUCUUAGACUGCCAUAAGCACAUGAUGAACAAGGGGAGGUGUAAUGGCUAUUUUCAGAGGGAUGGCACCAGUUUCAGAGAAAAGUCCUUUUAUUUUUAUUUAUUUAUUUAUUUUUAAAGGCUUUUGGAUCACUCUUUCUUGUAUGUGGCUACAUCAAUCUAUCAAACUCUACAAGGAAAAAUGAGUAAGUGAUGUUCAGCAUCAUGCCUGGGCUUUCUGCUAGCCAGAGAGAAAAAGUCCUGUGGGCUCCGUGGACCAGCAGCUGCCACUUAGCAAUGACAAGGCUGACUGUGGGAAACUGCAGCCUACAAAUUUAGUCUCCAGACUUACUCUAAUACUUUGCUGUUCUGACUUUCCCUUGCAGUUUCUUCUAUCCAGUCAAUGAAUAAUCAGCUUCUGUCUCUAAAUAGUCAUUUGCAUGUGAACAUCAGGUUUUCACCUUGUUAGAAUUCCUGCUUACAUAGUCCCACUUGCUGUAAUUUUGUACUUGUUAUUUCUGACUAACAUUAUGCUCUUACUACAGAAUUGUAGCAUGCAGUAAUUAGCCCUAAUAGUUACCCUUGAAAGAUUAGUGCUGUUUUAUGUUUGGGACUACCAACUCUGACAAGAAAUGCCAACACUUAAUUUGUACUUAAACUAUUUAAUAGGUGAGAUGACUUUGCCUUAACACUUGAAAAAAAGAAAAACGCUAACAAAAAUCAUUUACUGAUCAAUGCAAAUAAAUAUAAUGAAGUAUUUCUGCAUUCUUGAAUGUUCUUAGUCUCUUUUCUGAUCUGUUCAUCUUUGAACAGGAUAAGAGGAAUUUUGUGUUAUUUUACUUAUAUGCAGUCUGUUCAGGAGAAACUCCUUGCAGAUGGAAGAACAUCACAAUGUAUCCUGAGCAAGAAAUACACAAUACCGAAAUGCUGCUCUGAAUUUUUCACGGGUAGGGAGUUAACAAGACAGAGCUUCUGCCUACAGAUUAACUAAGAAAGUAUUACCUGGAUCUAAUUAUAUGCUCUUGCUUUCACUAAAAUAGCGUAAUGCAAACCAGAAUAAAACUUUGGCUGUAGAUCCACAAAAUAUUUUUUCCACCAGAAACUAGAAUAGCGUAAUGUGCUGAUUUUUACAUUCUGCUACAGUCCUUUAAUAAAAUCAGACUGGAGUUUGGAGGGUUCAGCUAUUGUAUUUAAAAGACAUUAGUGCCCAAAUUGUAAAUUUGACCAUUUCUCGCUGCCUCCAGCCCUUAACAACAAUAUUACAACAGAAAGAAAAUAACCGAACUGUGCUUGUUAACAUAUUUACAUUAUUUUCAACCUAGAAUAAUUGCAGUGCUAUAUGUUCUACUAAUUUUUGUAAUGAAGCCAACAAAAUACAUUUCUCAGUUGACUGAUGCUUCUAAUCCCAGCAUUUAAAUAUAUAAUCAAUUUUAAUCUUCCAGGUUGACACCUUGACGUCAACUGAAAUUCCCAAGAGCAGAACUGGACACAAAUAGUAAUACUCCAUGCCUUAAAACUAAAAAAAAAAAAAAAAAAACAAACUGCCAAAACCAAAAGAAACAAACACAAAACACCCCCAAGCAAACAACAACAACCCAACAUCAAAACCAAACAAACCAAUAACAAUAACAACAACAAAAGUCUGAGAAAAAUUAAUCUCAAAUCUGAGCCCCCAGAAACCCCUAAAUUUUUUUUUUUUUUUUUUUUUUUUUUU